rnacentral:lncRNA from 7 species
GGGCCCGGCUGCUGCCUAGUCCUGAAGGCUGUAGAACACAGCCCUUGCCUCCUGCCUUGGCUGACUGGCUGCAGUCACGGCCCUUGCCUGCCUGCCUACCUUGGCUGAGUGGCUGGUUGGAGUCAUGGCCCA